GAAAACAUCAUGGAGAACAAACGUUGGAGAGGUGGAACAGCAAAGAGAGAAGCGAAAUAAGAAAAUUAUAUCAGAGACUGAACUUCGGACAAACAUACCAUCUAUGUUGACUUUUUCAAAAGUCGGCUACUCGGCUUGCUAGCAUUAGCAAAGAGCCGGGAGAGGAUGAUGCUAACAUCGCAAAGAAAGGGGACAGUAAAAUGACCGCAGACGCUACCGUUAGUUCAUCUUAGCAUCAGCAUUAAAAAGACACAGAGCCACAGCCCUGCCAAAGACACCUGUAAAACGGCCCCACCCUCAUCUCACCCGGAGUAGGUUGAGUAGGUUACCAGUCUAGCAGCCCCUCUUUUUGUUACUUUCUACCUGUUGAACUUCUAAUCAAGGCAACACUGGACAGAGACAUGGACUUCAGUAAUACAGUGGAGGAGUUUUCGAGGGAAAAGGCCAGAGAGAAGACCGUCACUUGAGCUCCUGCCUGCUGCUGUGAGCCACCACCUCCUCUGGAACCUUAUCCAAGUCACUGGUCUGCAGAGAUGAGGACAAAUGAAGAAGAGGGCAGCAUCUUUUUUCACGAGUGCAACAGAGGGAACAGCACCUAUCACAGGGCCAGGCAGACCUGACAUCACACUUUCAUUACCAGCAGAUCACCCGAGGGCCAGUCAAAGCUAUGGCCACUGGACGUGCCUCACUGGCUAAGACACAUAAACCAGACCAGUGUCAGCAAUACUGGUCAUAAGCAUGUAAAUUUGUUUAGUUAAGUUCAGUUUUACUUUUUACUUUAGUUGUUUUGCAUUCAAAGCCAGUAUGGAUUUUUGGCGACACUAAACCGUGGAUAGAAAAUAGAUUUGUUGUGUCAGAAAUUAGAAGAAUUCUGUUUCUCCAAUAAUUUUAUGCUUGCAAGCCUCUGAACUAAAUCCAUGAUGACACACUAAUUCUGUAUUUCAGAGUCACAGGCAGAGAGGAAAGUGGUGAGCACAUCAUAUCUGGCCACUAUGAAUUCAAUCUAUCAAGGUGGAAAACACAUCAGACACCCGUGCUAUCAUGUUUGCCUGGCUGCUCAAUGCUGUAAACUAAGUGUGCAAAUUAAACCAGCUAACAUUAAACCUGCAUUGAUUGAUUAUUUUUUUUGGCCACUUGGGGGCUGUGGAAACCACUUCUAAACACAUUUUUGACAUUAUCACCCGUUGAUGUAGCAAACUUGUUAGUAAACAGC